rnacentral:rRNA from 1 species
GACGAACGCUGGCGGCGUGCUUAACACACGCAAGUCGAACGGAAAGGCCCCUUUGGGGGUACUCGAGUGGCGAACGGGUGAGUAACACGUGCGUAACCUGCCCUUGACUUCGGGAUAACUUCAGGAAACUGGGGCUAAUACCGGCUAGGAAUCCUUGCUGCAUGGUGGGGGUUGGAAAGCUUCGGCGGUUUGGGAUGGACUCGCGGCCUUUCAGCUUGUUGGUGGGGUAGUGGCUUACCAAGGCUUUGACGGGUAGCCGGCCUGGGAGGGGGACCGGCCACAUUUGGACUGGGAUUCGGGCCAGACUCCUACGGGAGGCAGCAGUGGGGAAUAUUGCACAAUGGGCGGAAGCCUGAUGCAGCAACGCCGCGUGCGGGAUGACGGCCUUCGGGUUGUAAACCGCUUUCAGCAGGGGCGAAGCUUGUGGUGACGGUACCUGCAGAAGAAGCACCGGCUAACUACGUG